UAAUAAGUGUUUUAUGGCACUUUUUAAAUCCAUAUCCACCUUGUGUGCAAUGUCAGUCGAUCUUCUUUAUGGAAAAGAUUGGCCAAACAUCAACCAUAUCUAAUUGAACUCUUUGUCUGAAAAAUAUUAUGAAUAAACUAAUUCAAAAUA
rnacentral:misc_RNA from 1 species